AGUAGAGUGUCUGAGAUUAAAGGUGAUAGAUUGUAAAUUUAUUUACGGGGUAACCCCCUCUCUACUA
rnacentral:tRNA from 1 species